rnacentral:rRNA from 1 species
AGUGGAUGGGGAGCAACAAAAGUUGUGUGUGUGUAAAGGUAGCGCCAAGAAAAGCUGAGUUGAUGUUGAACAAAAGAUUCCGGUACCCGAAACCGACACAGGUGGCAAGUAGAGAAUACUAAGGGGCGCGAGGUAACUCUCUCCAAGGAACUCGGCAAAAUGACCCCGUAACUUCGGGAGAAGGGGUGCCACCGAGAGGUGGUCGCAGUGAAGAGUCCCAGGCGACUGUUUAGCAAAAACAUAGGUCUCUGCAAACUCGAAAGAGGAGGUAUAGGGGCUGACGCCUGCCCAGUGCCGGAAGGUUAAAGAAGUUGGUUAGUCGAAAGAUUAAGCUAACGACUGAAGCCCCGGUGAACGGCGGCCGUAACUAUAACGGUCCUAAGGUAGCGAAAUUCCUUGUCGGGUAAGCUCCGACCCGCACGAAAGGCGUAACGAUCUGGGAGCUGUCUCGGAGAGAGGCUCGGCGAAAUAGGAUUGUCUGUGAAGAUACGGACUACCUGCAUUUGGACAGAAAGACCCUAUGAAGCUUUACUGUAGCUUGGAAUUGUGUUCGGGCUUGCUGUGCGCAGGAUAGGUGGGAGGCUAUGAAGGUAUGCUUGUGGGUGUACUGGAGCCGUCAGUGAGAUACCCCUCUCAGGGGGCUAGAAUUCUAACUAAAGAAAGGACAGUUUCAGGUGGGCAGUUUGACUGGGGCGGUCGCCUCCAAAAAGGUAACGGAGGCGUACAAAGGUUCCUUCAGACUGGUUGGAAAUCAGUCGCAGAGUGCAAAGGCAGAAAGGAGCUUGACUGCGAGAAUUACAGUUCGAGCAGGGUGGAAACACGGUCUUAGUGAUCCGACGGUGCUGUGUGGAAGGGCCGUCGCUCAACGGAUAAAAGUUACUCUAAGGACAACAGGCUGAUCUCCCCCAAGAGUUCACAUCGACGGGGAGGUUUGGCACCUCGAUGUCGGCUCAUCGCAACCUGGGGCGGAAGUACGUCCCAAGGGUUGGGCUGUUCGCCCAUUAAAGCGGUACGUGAGCUGGGUUCAGAACGUCGUGAGACAGUUCGGUCCAUAUCCGAUGUAGGCGAGAGAAUAUUGAGAGGAGCCUUCCUUAGUACGAGAGGACCGGGAAGGACGCACCGCUGGUGUACCUGUUAUGAUGCCAAUUGUAAACGCAGGGUAGCCAAGUGCGGAGAGGAUAACCGCUGAAAGCAUCUAAGUGGGAAGCCCACCUCAAGAUGAGUAUUCUGUGUUAAGGUCACGGGAAGACGACCCGUAAUAGGCACGAGGUGGAAGUGCAGUAAUGUAUGAAGCCGAAGUGUACUAAUAGACCGUCAGCUUGA